rnacentral:rRNA from 1 species
UACAGAGGGUGCUAGCGUUAAUCGGAAUUACUGGGCGUAAAGGGCGCGUAGGCGGUGAGAUAUGUGUGGUGUGAAAGCCCUCGGCCUAACCGAGGAAUUGCGCUCUAAACUACUGUGCUUGAGGAAUCUAGAGGUGAGCGGAACUGAUGGUGGAGCGGUGAAAUGCGUUGAUAUCAUCAGGAACACCGGAGGCGAAGGCGGCUCACUGGGGAUUUUCUGACGCUGAGGAACGAAAGCCAGGGGAGCAAACGGG